rnacentral:rRNA from 1 species
UACGGGGGGGGCAAGCGUUGUUCGGAAUUACUGGGCGUAAAGGGCGCGUAGGCGGCCUGCUAAGUCGGACGUGAAAUCCCUCGGCUCAACCGAGGAACUGCGUCCGAUACUGGUGGGCUUGAAUCCGGUAGAGGGAAGCGGAAUUCCCGGUGUAGUGGUGGAAUACGUAGAUAUCGGGAGGAACAUCUGUGGCGAAGGCGACACCCUGGACCAGCACUGACACUGAGGCACGAAAGCGUGGGGAGCAAACAGG